GUGAACGCUGGCGGUAGGCCUAACCCAUGCCAGUCGCACGGCAGCACAGUAAGAGCUUGCUCUUACGGGUGGCGAGUGGCGGACGGGUGAGGAAUACAUCGGAAUCUACUUUUUCGUGGGGGAUAACGUAGGGAAACUUACGCUAAUACCGCAUACGACCUACGGGUGAAAGCAGGGGAUCUUCGGACCUUGCGCGAUUGAAUGAGCCGAUGUCGGAUUAGCUAGUUGGCGGGGUAAAGGCCCACCAAGGCGACGAUCCGUAGCUGGUCUGAGAGGAUGAUCAGCCACACUGGAACUGAGACACGGUCCAGACUCCCACGGGAGGCAGCAGUGGGGAAUAUUGGACAAUGGGCGCAAGCCUGAUCCAGCCAUACCGCGUGGGUGAAGAAGGCCUUCGGGUUGUAAAGCCCUUUUGUUGGGAAAGAAAAGCAGCAGGUUAAUACCCCGCUGUUCUGACGGUACCCAAAGAAUAAGCACCGGCUAACUUCGUG
rnacentral:rRNA from 1 species